AAAAAUACGGUUAUUGGAUAUAUUAUAUAACCAAAUACCGGUGGAAAUAUAUUAGGUAAUAAAUAAAAUUAAAAGGUUUUAUAUAUUGUUAAAACGAAUUUACGAAAUUAUUCGUGCUAAAUGCGGUACAGAAUAUUUGCAUAAAAUUAUUUUGCAAACAACGGUAAAAACGGUUAACGAUAUUGUAAAACCGAACGGUUUAAUACUUAUAUUAUUAAUAUUUGGAAUAACAUUUAAAAUUAUAAUGGAUUUAUUUCCCAUACCCAACCAAAUAAAAUAAACGGCGGUAAUUAAUAAAAUUAUAACGAAAUUACGGAAAUUUACCGCCAAAAAAAAAUUAAACAACGCGUUAACCGCAAAAAACGGCCCAAAAUUAUCGGACCGAUUUUUAUAUACGUUGGAAUUAGGUGCAAAAAUACUAGCAUACCGAAAAAAAAAUAAUUGGAAUAAUUUAUAUAAAAUUAUUUUAAUAACGGAAAAUAAUAUAAAAGUUAUUUUUCCCAACGGGAAUUCGGAUUUUAAAAAUAUCCACGUAAAAUUAUAUUACAAAUAUUAAAAUUAAAAAAAGGAAAUAUAAAAAAAAACGAUUUCGUUUAUUUUAAAAAAAAACCAUCCACGGUUUAGGGAAAAACCAAAAAUGGUAUAAAAAACGCCCAAAAAAUUAUUAAUAAUAAUAGUAAUUAAUCCAACGCAAAAACCGUUUUUUAAUUUAAAAAUAAUCGCUUUUAAAACGGAUAUUACGCCAAACGAUUGGACGAUCGAAAUGGUAAUUAAACCCGAAAAAUACCGACGCAAUGGACGAAAUAAAAAACCCAAAAUGCAAUUCGAUACGUUAUUAUUGGAUAAAAAAAACCAUAUUUACAAUUUGGUUAUUAAAUAUAGGGUAAAAAACAAAAUUACGGUAUUAGGGGUUUUAUUUAAAUAAUUAAACGCCGCCGAAAUCGAAAUAUUAUUAAAU
rnacentral:sRNA from 1 species